CAAGCGGAGGAACAUGUGGUUUAAUUCGAUGAUACGCGAGGAACCUUUACCCGGGCUUGAAAUGCAUCUGACCGGCCUUGAAAGAGGCACUCCCUUCGGGGCAGAUGUGUAGGUGCUGCAUGGUUGUCGUCAGCUCGUGCCGUGAGGUGUCGGCUUAAGUGCCAUAACGAGCGCAACCCUCAUCAUUAGUUACCAUCAGGUAAGGCUGGGGACUCUAAUGAGACUGCCAUCGUAAGAUGUGAGGAAGGUGGGGAUGACGUCAAAUCAGCACGGCCCUUACGUCCGGGGCGACACACGUGUUACAAUGGGUGGUACAAAGGGCAGCUACCUGGCGACAGGAUGCUAAUCUCGAAAACCGCUCUCAGUUCGGAUCGGAGUCUGCAACUCGACUCCGUGAAGCUGGAUUCGCUAGUAAUCGCGCAUCAGCCAUGGCGCGGUGAAUACGUUCCCGGGCCUU
rnacentral:rRNA from 1 species